rnacentral:rRNA from 1 species
UAGGGAAUCUUCGGCAAUGGGGGCAACCCUGACCGAGCAACGCCGCGUGAGUGAAGAAGGGUUUCGGAUCGUAAAGCUCUGUUGUAAGAGAAGAACGUGUGUGAGAGUGGAAAGUUCACACAGUGACGGUAACUUACCAGAAAGGGACGGCUAACUACGUGCCAGCAGCCGCGGUAAUACGUAGGUCCCGAGCGUUGUCCGGAUUUAUUGGGCGUAAAGCGAGCGCAGGCGGUUUAAUAAGUCUGAAGUUAAAGGCAGUGGCUUAACCAUUGUUCGCUUUGGAAACUGUUAAACUUGAGUGCAGAAGGGGAGAGUGGAAUUCCAUGUGUAGCGGUGAAAUGCGUAGAUAUAUGGAGGAACACCGGUGGCGAAAGCGGCUCUCUGGUCUGUAACUGACGCUGAGGCUCGAAAGCGUGGGGAGCAAACAGG